UGUGUUAUUUUUCAAAAAUACCUGAAUUUUAGUGAGUUUUAAAGAAAUUUUUUUUUUAGCUUUUAACGUGUAUAAAACUGGAUUCAUUUAUUUGUGUGAAUUUUCUUGUUAUUUUAAAUUGCAAAAUAUCUAGUCCAGGGUUAGAAAAAAAUCAAGAAUACUGUCUUUACUGUUCGCACAUAUAAGCAACUGGCUUAGCUUAUUUAGAACUUUUUUUUUCCUGGUAGAAAUUUUCUGGCUUCUGUCUAAUGCUUUUUUAACAUUGACUCAAAAUAGUCUUCCUUCUUAUUGGCUUGAGUUUACUGCCAUAUCAACUUGAUGAGAUAUGAAUCAAGAUAAUGAUGGGCUUUGGCCCUCUUUUUUUUUUUUUUUUUUUUUUCCAACUGUGCUUUUGGCAGAGUCCCGUGUUCAUUCUGUAUUUUGGGUGUGAUGGAUGUUUCGGGAUCUAUAAACUUACGCUUAUGUUUCAUUGUAUUAUACAGAAUUUUAGCUUUUUCUAGUUCUGAUUUGAUAGCCUAGCAAUCAGAAUACAAUUUAUUUCUUUUUUGAUAAUUUUCUCGAUUAAAGUAGAGGCACUUUUGUCAGGCAAAACAGUAAAAAUGUUUAUUUUAUCUCAUAGAAUAUCCCUCCGAAAACACAUUUUAUAGGCAGUAAAUGUUGAGUAUUAUUUUUUUUGACAAAGAAACUUUCGCAAACUUCUAUCACAUGUCCUUUAUGAUCUAUUUUCUUUUCUUCACCCAUUUUCUAAAACCCAUAUUUCUUGCAUGUAACUAAUUCAAUCAUGCAUGUAAUUUGUUAACCAAUAGGUAAUUUCAUUGGAUCCAAAUUUUUACAUAUGACAAUGUCCGGCAAAAUGCCAUAUUUUUGAAGUAUUUGAAUGGCAUCGUUUUGUUUGUAGGUAAAUCACAAAUAUUCAUAUUUAGAAAAUUUUACUUAAGCUAAAAUGUAUUAUUAAAUUGAGUAUAAUAAUGAGUGAGUAUAAUAGAAUGCUUUCAAAAAUCUCAAAGAGCAUUCAGGGUAGGCCACAUUGAUGCCUUUCAUGUAUUAGCUUGAAAAAUUAAUUGCCAGUGACUUUGCAAAUUAUCUCCAAAGUGGGCAACGAGUUUAUGACUUUUUUUGCAGGGUUGUGGGUAGUCAGAAAGUGCAAAAAAAAUUUAGUUCUAAACAUAUAAACAUUCUUUGAAACGCAUGUGACUGUUAUAAAAGUAAAAUUUAAAUAUUUCAAGAAAUUAUCUUAUGUUAUUGGCAAGUUUUAGGGAGCUGCUUUUUUUUUUUCUCAAACUGAUUUUACACUUUUAUUAAAUAUUAGAUUAUGCUUUAUAAUAAUACAUAUUGUGAACAUUUCUCGGUCAUUCAUAGAAUUGUAUUAUUUGGGUGAAAUCAGUUGUACAUGUAUUUUCUGUAAUUUAUUCAAUUAUUAAUUGUUGAUAAACCCUUAAUUUUAUUGAUAGUCCUCAAAGGGCAAGAUUAAACUAUUUUUAACUCAUAAUCAUCAGCAUGGGAAUUUCAGUUAAUUAUAGAUUGUUUACAAAAUGUUAUAUUUUUAAUGAAUAAUUAAAAGGCAUUUAAUUCUAAAUAAUAUGGAUCCGCGGUAACUGUCUUCCCAGCAUUGUGUAGAAAUAUACAUACUUAGGAUUUCUAAGUAAAUAAUUGUAGCUGGUAGAAAAAAUAAUUUUAUUUUCCAUCCGAGACAAACAUGAUUAAUUACAGUGUGACUUCAGUCUUCAGUAAUAUUAUUAAUUAAGAAUUAAUCCUUUAUUAAAUAUGAUAUAUUUUAAAUAAAUAAUUAAAAGAAAGGAGAAAUUAGUAGGAUGGAUAGUUUAUUAGAAUGGAUUUUAUUAGAAUGGAUAGUUUCAGUAGGCUCUUAUAUCAAGAUUGAUUUUUAAGUUUAGAAGUUUCAGAGCCCUGUGGAAGGCUACUAGGAAAGAUGAGGGAAAUAAAUGAUUAAAAUAACUAAUUAAAAUUAAAAUUCAAUCUUAUGUGAAUAAAUAAAUGACAAUUAACUAAAUUAACAAUAAAUAGUUAAAUAAUGAAAUGAAAUAUCAGAUCUCAUCAUAUUUGGGGCCCUAACUGGAAUUGAAACGUCACUCAAAAACCAAGACAUAGAGAUAAGUAUAUUAUACUAGUAGUAAUGUACUACUACAAAGAUCAUUCUUUUUCCUUCGCAUUAAUGAAAAAUGGGUAAAAUGGUUAUAAAGCAGUACUAAUGAGAACAGACAGAAUGAUAGAAAACGUAUGUAAAAAAUGUUAUUGAAGAAGUUCAAGUUAAAAAAAAGGGAAGAAGAAUCUAAUCCUUUCUGACUGUAGUCUCUUUCUGAUAUAAUUCUACCUGUUAAGGAAGAUGUGAUAGGGAAAAAAUUUUCCCUAUACAUUUAGAGUUUACCUGAAAGCUGAGAACAAAUGUAAGAUUCUGUAUAAAAGGACCAUCCUCCAUGUUUGGUUACAUCAUUUCAAAAGUCUGCAGGUGCUCUUUUUAGCAGGAAUUCUCUAAUACUGAAUGUGUCUGAGCUGUUUGUCCAUUGUAAAUUGCAACAUAUUUUGGUAUAUAUAAACAAGGGUUGGUACUUACACAUUAGCAUAACCACCAUAUAAGAAAUCAGCAAAUUUUCAGAAUGUGCCAAGCUCUGGCUGCCAAGUCAUAACAGUUCUUCAGUCUUAGUAAACAGCAUUGCCAUUUUCAUUAUUCUUUUUGCACUAUCCCAUGUUACAACAAUUUUUGUAGCAAAAUCAUGAAGUUUCUUUUUUUUUUUUUUUUUUUUUUUUUUUAACUCAGUUUUAAUAUAUAUGCUGAUAAGAUUUGCAUGCAAAAUUUCUGCAGGAAUUUCAUUGCAAAAUCAUAAAAGGAAAAAUUGCUUUGAAUUUUGUCUUAAAGCAAUCACCAUAUCUCAUCACAAUUAAAAAAAAAAAAAAAAAAAAAAACUCGUUUGUUGGUUUACUGAUCGAUUUUUCCUUUAAAUAUAAUGUAGAAUAUAUAUGCAUGCAAUUAAUAAAAUUUGCAAUUAUAAAUCACCAUUCCUUUUCGUUUAAUAAAAAAUCAAGAAACUUUACCAAGGUGGUUGUGUUAUCCCCUUUCGUGUUUGUUCUGUUGUAAAUUUUGAGUAACUGGAGAUAUUAAUAUAUUUUGUAGAUUCAUGGCCUGGAUACUUGUAAUAAUGUUUGCAGAUCAGGCUAAAUUUUAGCAGCAUCUAAACACUAUAGCAAGCAAAAUUUUAGCCUAUAUACUGCAAUGCACUUGCCAAAAUGAUUUUCAUGGUUUAAAGAAUAUGAUUUGAGAGAAAUGGUGAAAUCAUAAAAACUUUUUUGAAAUUGCCCAUGGUGUUCAUUAAUUGCAGUUGACUUUGCUUAGUAGAAAAAUAUAGGGGGAAUAAUAUUACUAAUCAUUUUUAGUUUUAAAAACAUAAUUUCUUGCAAAUUUAUCUAUUUAUUAAGCAAAAUGUAACCUUGGUUUUUCUUUUUUUAUUUUAAGGGAAUUUAUAGAAAUGUUGAAGAAAGUGAAACUGUAGGAAUUGAUUCAGUUUCAUCAGGUAGUUCUUCUGAUGUGGUACAUAAUGAGCCUAGCCGAACAGGUGUUAAGGAUUUCAAAAUUCUGUCAUUUUAGGGAAAGGAGGCUUUGGUAAAGUUUUUCUGGUUC